GUCACGAUAGUUUAAUUGGUCAAGAUGCUGGAAUGUGAUAUUCCGGAAGGUUCAAUUUCGAGUCCUGCUUGUGACG
rnacentral:tRNA from 1 species